rnacentral:rRNA from 1 species
UGGCGGACGGGUAAGUAAUGUCUGGGAAACUGCCCGAUGGAGGGGGAUAACUACUGGAAACGGUAGCUAAUACCGCAUAACGUCGCAAGACCAAAGAGGGGGACCUUAGGGCCUCUUGCCAUCGGAUGUGCCCAGAUGGGAUUAGCUAGUAGGUGGGGUAAUGGCUCACCUAGGCGACGAUCCCUAGCUGGUCUGAGAGGAUGACCAGCCACACUGGAACUGAGACACGGUCCAG